rnacentral:rRNA from 1 species
AUUCCAGCUCCAAUAGCAUAUAUUAAAGUUGUUGCAGUUAAAAAGCUUGUAGUUGGAUUUCUGGCAUGAUGCGCCUGGUCCGCCUCGAUUACGAGUGUGUGUACGAGCGCGCGUCUGCCAUCCAUUUGCAGAAUGUAUCUACCCUUCAUUGGGCCGGAUAUGUGAUGUAAAUCUUUUACUUUGAAAAAAUUAGAGUGUUUAAAGCAGGCAUUUGCUAUGAAUACAUUAGCAUGGAAUAAUAAUCUAGGACUUCGGUUCUAUUUUGUUGGUUUCUAGAUCUGAAGUAAUGAUUGAUAGGGAUAGUUGGGGGUGCUAGUAUUAAGGGGCCAGAGGUGAAAUUCUUGGAUACUCUUAAGACUAACUUAUGCGAAAGCAUUCACCAAGGAUGUCUUCAUCA